rnacentral:rRNA from 1 species
UACGUAGGCAGCGAGCGUUGUUCGGAGUUACUGGGCGUAAAGGGUGUGUAGGCGGUUGUUUAAGUUUGGUGUGAAAUCUCCCGGCUCAACUGGGAGGGUGCGCCGAAUACUGAAUGACUUGGAGUGCGGGAGAGGAGAGUGGGAUUCCUGGUGUAGCGGUGAAAUGCGUAGAUAUCAGGAGGAACACCGGUGGUGUAGACGGCUCUCUGGACCGUAACUGACGCUGAAACACGAAAGCGUGGGUAGCAAACAGG